rnacentral:rRNA from 1 species
GAUGAACGCUGGCGGCGUGCCUAAUACAUGCAAGUCGAGCGAACAGACGAGGAGCUUGCUCCUCUGACGUUAGCGGCGGACGGGUGGGUAACACGUGGAUAACCUACCUAUAAGACUGGGAUAACUUCGGGAAACCGGAGCUAAUACCGGAUAAUAUAUUGAACCGCAUGGUUCAAUAGUGAAAGACGGUUUUGCUGUCACUUAUAGAUGGAUCCGCGCCGCAUUAGCUAGUUGGUAAGGUAACGGCUUACCAAGGCAACGAUGCGUAGCCGACCUGAGAGGGUGAUCGGCCACACUGGAACUGAGACACGGUCUAGACUCCUACGGGAGGCAGCAGUAGGGAAUCUUCCGCAAUGGGCGAAAGCCUGACGGAGCAACGCCGCGUGAGUGAUGAAGGUCUUCGGAUCGUAAAACUCUGUUAUUAGGGAAGAACAAAUGUGUAAGUAACUAUGCACGUCUUGACGGUACCUAAUCAGAAAGCCACGGCUAACUACGUG